AGUGAUACUUUAUUUCCUGUCGUUCUUUGGUGUCUUUGACAUUUUUAAACAGUCUAUCCACGAAAUAGUCUAGACGACGAGGGCGAGCGCGGAGGGUCUGCUGAAAUAAUAUUUGAGGAAUUCGAUUUCGACCAAGCUAAAGGAAAAGAAGGAAGCGGUCACCGAACAAAUGGCUACAAAUAUGCGUACAAGUCACUUUACCCGUGUCUUUAGUUCAGCAGCUGCUUCCCCGGCCCAUCAUUUCCCGUUUACACUAGACCAUUUUCCGUAUACCUGACGUGGGUCACAAAGAAGUGGAUGGAAGGUAUAAAAAUGGCGAAAAAAAAAUUUGCAUAAAUCAUUAACCGAAGAAAGACCCCAAAAUCGAUAUCGAUUUACCCCCUUUUUUUACCCCGUAAAAUUCAAUCCGUCGGUACUAAGGAUUCCUAAUGUCUCUCACAGUCGAGAGAUUUUGGGCUUUUCGAGGCACGCGCCGUAGUCGCACCUGGGAAUUCUUAUGCGCGGUAGCCGCAUUUUACGGCGGAGUAAAUUAUAAUGAAAAAAAGAAGAAAAUACGAAAAAAACAAAAAAAAUCAAACGGUGACCAUAAGUGGUUUCAAUUUACCUGAAACGCGCAAUGCCAACGGGUGCCACUUUGUUAUCCGAGAUGCAUUCCAAAAGGACAGCUGCAUCAAGCAUGUGCCAGUUUCCAUAUCAUCGUACGGCAACCCACUUGACACCAUAUAGAACAACAGUACCGAGAGAAGCCAUUCGACCGUGAUAAAUGCCGUCCUAAUUACCAAUAAUGUCUACACACGCUACAGCGGGUUCCAUAGAAGUUUCGAGAAUUCUAUGAGUACCCAUGAUCACCAUGGUCCUUUCAUGGUAUAUCCAUGGUAAGCCGUCUCAAUAAGGGACAUAUAAUUCAGCAAACAAUACCAGGAAGUUAAUAUACAAGAAUCAUGGUACUGGUGGUGGACGAAGAAAGGAAUGGGAAAAAAGAAAGUUCACUGAGUGCCAAGGAGAAAAUGGACAAAAAAUGAUGAGCUUGAAGAAAAUGGGAUCCCGUGUCCAGGAGCAUCGCGAGCCGCGUUUUCCAGAUGUCGUUGAAAGGAGUGUCUGCUCACUGUCAUCGUAUUCUCAAACCAGUACUAUGUAGGACUACACUACCCUGCCAUUACGUGGAGUGAGUCUCGUUUACCAGGUUCCCAGUUAAAAAGUCGCAAACAAGGAGCAGAAGGAUAUAAGGGUUCUCCUAGGCUAAGAACUUAGACUAUUGAAAGUUUUUGGAACUCCUUGUAGAUACGAUUUCGAAAUUGCGGGUUUUGCAUGUCUAUUGUACGGCACGGCGGUAAGGGGUUUGUAAAAAAUUGUUAUCAGGAGUUUGAAUAGAAUUUUGAAAAUAUUUGAGGCCAUGAAACUUGGAAUAUUAUCAAGCUCGGGUUUGUUGGGUUGUAUAUUACAAUUAUUGGCUUAAUUACUGCUGUGUUAAAGUACUAAUUUAAGGGGCACUGGGAUAACGAUUCGUAGAGUAUCUGAGGCACGGUAUAUAAUCAAUAGUAAUUGUAUAUAACGAACCGUAACGAUGACAGCCAUGACACUAAAUCAUAUUUAAUGUAUAUCCCGAACGUAUCGGAUCUUUCGGAAUUAAAAGGAUUUCCAAAUGAGUACCUGCCUUUUUUUUAUUGUCUUUCUCUUCCUCGCAGGGCAGAAGGAACAACAAAAAAUUGGUAUACUAUAAUCCUAGGGAGGAAGCGUGACGAUUUAAGUGUGCCGCUCCUGUCUUCCUUGACUUAACGAGUCCUUCAGGAUCACGGAGGAAGCGCCAACACGAGCUACAAACGAGAAGCAUGCCGUGUGGAUUAUGAAUUCCUUACGCAGUGCCUUCGACCCUGAGCCAACCCUCGGUUAAGCGUUGUUAGGUUAGGUUAGUAGUUUUCAUGUAUUUUUUUUUUGCAACCAUUUUCGACCGCUGAUUUAUGACGGGAGGAUGUGAGGUGCCUGGAGCCACCCUUGUGUUCCUAUUCCGACAUCCGGUUUUGUUUCUUCAUCAGGCUUCUUCUUCUUCGGGCACGGUUGUCUUCUACGCAGUCUUUUGGCCUCGACAGCGUCAGUGUCUGGUUAGUCAGGAUGGUUCGAAUUGCAGGAUUGGCGGAUGAGACGCAUUUUGGAUAUUUAUGCGUUUCCUGUGGGAUUUGAAAAAAUUAAUUUUUGAAAUCAAUUUUUCAGUGUAGCUGUACAGAUUUCGUUUUUGAACAAGCGUAAAAGCUGGUCGUAUUUUUCAGUUUUUAAUUCGUGGAAAAGGAUUUCUGGGUCAUGACUGUCGGUAUACAAUGGUUGUAAAUUUUCAAAGUGAAAGUGUCCAGCCAAUUAGAUACAAGGAUGAAGAGAAAGGAACAUAGAAAAAUAUUCGAUGUCAGAUAAGCAGAGUUUAUAAAUUUUCUUGGACACAGAAUUAAGAUUCUGAUCGCAGGGAAUAUAUAUAAAAUCUAAAAAGAAAUACAGAAUAGUCCAAAUUGAGUUGUUUCAUAAAAGUGCAUGUGUUCCACAUCGUGCGUUACGUCGACGUACUAAAUAAAAAAAAAAUUGUCGAUAACAUUGAAAAGCAUCGAUGGCAAAGUUUCCGGGUGGUCCAGCGACGUCGCCAUUGUCAAAAACGAGGGAAGUAAAAAGUGAUUCAAGUAUUGUUAAGUGUACCAGCCUUUUGUGAUUUUAGAGUAAAUUUUUCAAAAUUACUUUUCGCAGCAGCUGCCCGCAACCCUGAAGGAUGCACAACCAGCCGCAAAACGGAGUCAUAAAUAAUCCAGCGUCAAACAAUAGCCAAGAAAUCUCGUUCGUAUCUCCAGUGUGGCAUCAUCCAGCGCACCCCAAAUAUUUACACUAGUCCGGUGGCAAACGGCAAAGUAAUAGAUUCAAGAUGACUUUGCGCUUAAAGUCUGCAACAAUGUCGGACCAUUUGCCUUCACUGACACGGCUCCCGCCUCCUGCUGUUUGUGCCUUCGACCGCUGGACAAUUCGUAACUUUCAUAAUGCGCGCCACCCUAUAUUCUUUUCUGGCCAACAAUCGAACGAUCUGGAUCCAUUUAUCAGAUAAAACGCUAAUUGUAAUGGGAUCUUCAUACAGGGCAGAUGGUCACUAUCAAUGCACCACCCCUCGCCCAAUGAACACUCACUCACUUGUCUAUGGGUCAUAAACAGUUAAUAACCAAAGAAAUAAAUUCGUACAAUUAAAUUGUAGGGAUAUAAAAAUAUAGUAUCGUAGACAGACAGAUACUCGAAAUCUUAUCUGUGCCAGCCAUUACUAAAAUCAUGUCAAAAUUCUCUACAGGGUAUUUCACAUAUGACCUGGACAUCCAUGAAAUCGGAAACGAAGAGUGUGAAAAUCAGUGACGUUUGAAAAAUUCCAGUCUUCGCUGCUGUUAACGGCUGCCCUUUCACUGGACACACCGCAGGGGUGGUUUUACGCGCAGGGGCGUAUUGUGCCUCUACAGGCACCCUGUACCAGGGUGUGAGAGGGUGUGACAAUUUCCGGUCAGUCAAGAGCCACGCGUCCCACUGGAUGUGAGAACGGCUGCGGAACCUUUCCUGAAGCAUACAACAAUAUAUGACCUAUGGUAGUCCUGUCUAAACGCCCCUGCUGUAACCACCAACUGGCACGGUUGGUCAUCCUGCUUUGGAACAACAGGGCUGCCGGACAUUAUCGAUGACAUCCUGAAACUUCCCAGCCGACUGGCGACUGUCAUCUCGUUAUUUAUUGUUCAGUUAUAGCUUUUGUUUUAACUCGGCUAUUCGACAGCUUCGUUACUUCUUUACGUCUGCUUUGUUCAUAAUGUUUCAACGUUUUGCAUAACUUGAUUGUCUUCGAUUAAUUAACAUUGGAUGCUGUAUGGAUUUUGUACAAACAAUUGUAUAGAAAUUGUCAACUCCGUUUUUCUUUUCUUCAAUUUAUAAGUCUUGGUUAACUCCUUUAUUGGAUACAUUUGUAAUUCAUAUAUGUUAAUGGGUGGAUGACUUUUCAAAAUUUUGUAUAUUAUUUUUAAUCAGUUAUUAAUAUUAUUCGUUGCUGUUUUUUAAUGAGAUGUAAUUUAGC